rnacentral:lncRNA from 1 species
AGUCGACAUCUCUGACUUCAGACUGGAUGACUGUCUAGAUUCAGAAGAAGAUUUUGUUAGGUUCAAAAGAGGUCCCUCUUCAAAGAAGUCUUCAAAGGCAAAGAGAGCAAGGCUAGGAGAAACUUCUGGAACCAGAUCUCCAGCGCCUCUGCAAGUAACUACUGGUACGUCUGCUCCCUCUAUUCCCUCUGAACCUCUUAUGGCUUCUUCUUCUAAUCCUCUCCCAACACCACCUAUAUACACAUCCUCUGAAACCCCACCUUCUACAACCAGAACCUCACAACCUCUACCCAAUUUUAAUCUUGCUCAGACUACCACUUCCUCUUCAUCAUCUUCAGCCCCAAAAUCACCUCCAUACCUUGACCUCUCCUCUGAC